rnacentral:rRNA from 1 species
CCCAAAGGUUCCCUCAGAAUGGUUGGAAAUCAUUCGUAGAGUGUAAAGGCACAAGGGAGCUUGACUGCGAGACCUACAAGUCGAGCAGGGACGAAAGUCGGGCUUAGUGAUCCGGUGGUUCCGCAUGGAAGGGCCAUCGCUCAACGGAUAAAAGCUACCCCGGGGAUAACAGGCUUAUCUCCCCCAAGAGUCCACAUCGACGGGGAGGUUUGGCACCUCGAUGUCGGCUCAUCGCAUCCUGGGGCUGUAGUCGGUCCCAAGG